GGAACAUUGUCAGUUCAAUCUACUGUGGAAUUUAUAGUAUUAAUGAUCUGAAGAACACUUUAGGGAUUUCUGUCAGAUGUCUAUUUUAAUUUAAACUCUUGGGUGUUUAACUACCCAAAAUAUUGAGUUCUAGUCAUUAUAAAAACUAAUAACUGGCUUAUUUUGCUGCUAAUUCAGAAACUGAGGUUAAUUAUCUAUAGUGAAAGGAUGUGGUACUAAUCUAAAGUCUACCUGAAUAAGACACUGUGGUUAAUUGAUUCCCCAUGAAAUGACAAAAGAUUCCUUCAGAGUAAAGAGAUGUUUAAUAUUCAGGGCUUUCUCAAAGGUACUAAGUUUUGCUUCUCAUGAAAGGUUUUUUUGUUUGGCUUCAUCAGCUCUACCCUACCCUUUUAUUAUUCUUAUUGUCACUGUAUCUUUAUGAAAAGUACCAUAGGGUGAUUAUAUGUUUUCCAGGUGGAAGCCUGUCUGCUACAUCCCUUUGAUUUGCAAUAAACCUUGUCUACAACAAGAUGUUACCCCACCGAAGGAGAUGGGAAUUGCUGGAUAUCCAACCCACAGAUGUGGGGUUGCACCUAGAAUUUGGCACCUGUGUUUGGUGCACACAGACGGGUGCUUCAGCAGAGCUGCAUGCUUGCAGGAAUACUUACUAAGAGGAAUAUUUCUGUGGUAAAUAAUUGUCUUUGCCAGAACAAGUGAAAAGGAGGUGUGCCCAUGCCAUAAACCUGCACUCUUCCCCCAGCACACCCUUGUGUUUGGCCAUGCUGCUGCCAGGGAGGGGAGCUGGCUGGGUCUGUGUUUAUCCCAGGUAAGCACCUACCUUUCUCCUAACUAUAUCCCAGCCUUACUAAGUUUUAAACCUGAAGGUGUAUGAAGGCCAGAUCCUCUCUCAGGACUUAGUAUACAAUGUUUUUGUUGCUUCAUGUUCUUGUUUUCUUCCCUCGUUGCACAGGAAGAGGAAUGACAACCCCACAGCUCCACAUGCUUUUACCAGUAUAUUUUCACUAACUUUGUACACUAGCUCUCCAGUCUCUGAAACCUCUGUGCAGGGAGGGCAUAUGUAGUCUCGUUAAAAAUAAGCCAUUGUUUGGUAGAUUAUAUUGGAUAAAAGCAAACGUACAAAGAUUAAAAGUUUCUCUUGCCUUAGCAGAACGAGAUCUCUGAAAUGUGUCUGUUUCCACAACCCUGGGAGUCAGAUGUGUGUUCCUAGUGCACAGAAGUAGCAGCAGGACCUGAAGCAGGGAUAAAUAUGGAUGAAACAGUCACGUUGAUGAUGGUGCUGCCAUGUAAUGAUGCAAAUUUUUCUGAUUUUUCUAUCAGAAAUGAGUCUUGGUGAAC
rnacentral:lncRNA from 1 species